UACGAAGGGGGCUAGCGUUGCUCGGAAUUACUGGGCGUAAAGCGCACGUAGGCGGCUCUUUAAGUCGGGGGUGAAAUCCUGGAGCUCAACUCCAGAACUGCCUUCGAUACUGUAGAGCUUGAGUUCGGGAGAGGUGAGUGGAACUGCGAGUGUAGAGGUGAAAUUCGUAGAUAUUCGCAAGAACACCGGUGGCGAAGGCGGCGAGCUGGUCCAUUACUGACGCUGAGGCGCGACAGCGUGGGGAGCAAACAGG
rnacentral:rRNA from 1 species